GAUACAAGGUAUCAUGUGUAUCGAUAUAGAAUAAAGUUCUGAGUAGAAGAUUGAUGAUGACAAAUUUCUACUCAUCAGUCUUGACUAAUUCUUGUGCCAGCAGUCGCGGUAACACAAGUAAGACAAGUGUUAUUCAUCAUUAUUAGGUUUAAAGCGUACCUAGACGGCAUUUUACACAGAUAAUGUUAAUUUUUUGCUAGAGUUUAACAGGGGAGGAUGAUAUUAGGACUAUUGGUGUAGAGAUGAAAUUCUUUGAUACUAAUAGAAUGUGUAACGGCGAAGGUAACCCUCUAUCUAUAAACUGACGUUGAGGAACGAAGGCUUGGGUAGCGAAUAGGAUUAGAUACCCUAGUAGUCCAAGCAGAAAAUUAUGAGUGCCAUAUGCUACAGAGUGAGUGUAUAAAUGAAAGUGUAAGCAUUCCACCUCAUGAGUAAAGGGGCAACCCCGGAAUUGAAAUCAUUAGACCGUUUCUGAAACCAGUAGUGAAGUAUGUUAUUUAAUUCGAUAAUCCUCGAAAAAUCUUACCACAAUUUGAAUAGUAUUUAUUAGGAUAUUACAGGCGUUGCACGGCUGUCUAAAGCUAAUGUCGUGAGAUUGUGGUUAGAUUCAUAAAAUUAGCGUGAU
rnacentral:rRNA from 1 species